CGGGUGGCGACCGGCGCACGGGUGAGUAACGCGUAUGCAACUUGCCUAUCAGAGGGGGAUAACCCGGCGAAAGUCGGACUAAUACCGCAUGAAGCAGGGGCCCCGCAUGGGGAUAUUUGCUAAAGAUUCAUCGCUGAUAGAUAGGCAUGCGUUCCAUUAGGCAGUUGGCGGGGUAACGGCCCACCAAACCGACGAUGGAUAGGGGUUCUGAGAGGAAGGUCCCCCACGUUGGUACUGAGACACGGACCAAACUCCUACGGGAGGCAGCAGUGAGGAAUAUUGGUCAAUGGGCGUAAGCCUGAACCAGCCAAGUCGCGUGAGGGAUGAAGGUUCUAUGGAUCGUAAACCUCUUUUAUAAGGGAAUAAAGUGCGGGACGUGUCCCGUUUUGUAUGUACCUUAUGAAUAAGGAUCGGCUAACUCCGUGCCAGCAGCCGCGGUAAUACGGAGGAUCCGAGCGUUAUCCGGAUUUAUUGGGUUUAAAGGGUGCGUAGGCGGCCUUUUAAGUCAGCGGUGAAAGUCUGUGGCUCAACCAUAGAAUUGCCGUUGAAACUGGGGGGCUUGAGUAUGUUUGAGGCAGGCGGAAUGCGUGGUGUAGCGGUGAAAUGCUUAGAUAUCACGCAGAACCCCGAUUGCGAAGGCAGCCUGCCAAGCCAUGACUGACGCUGAUGCACGAAAGCGUGGGGAUCAAACAGGAUUAGAUACCCUGGUAGUCCACGCAGUAAACGAUGAUCACUAGCUGUUUGCGAUACAGUGUAAGCGGCACAGCGAAAGCGUUAAGUGAUCCACCUGGGG
rnacentral:rRNA from 1 species